GACGAACGCUGGCGGCGUGCUUAACACAUGCAAGUCGAACGGAAAGGCCCUGCUUUUGUGGGGUGCUCGAGUGGCGAACGGGUGAGUAACACGUGAGUAACCUGCCCUUGACUUUGGGAUAAAUUCAGGAAACUGGGGCUAAUACCGGAUAGGAGCUCCUGCUGCAUGGUGGGGGUUGGAAAGUUUCGGCGGUUGGGGAUGGACUCGCGGCUUAUCAGCUUGUUGGUGGGGUAGUGGCUUACCAAGGCUUUGACGGGUAGCCGGCCUGAGAGGGUGACCGGCCACAUUGGGACUGAGAUACGGCCCAGACUCCUACGGGAGGCAGCAGUGGGGAAUAUUGCACAAUGGGCGGAAGCCUGAUGCAGCAACGCCGCGUGCGGGAUGACGGCCUUCGGGUUGUAAACCGCUUUCGCCUGUGACGAAGCGUGAGUGACAGUAAUGGGUAAAGAAGCACCGGCUAACUACGUG
rnacentral:rRNA from 1 species